rnacentral:lncRNA from 1 species
CAGUCUAGGUUAGCUCCAGAACCUUCUCCGCUUCUACGGCCCCGUUCAUAGACUGUGCCGAUCGUCCUUCGUUGCAAAUAUGGGCACGGACGCGGCUCGGAUUUUAGCCCAGAGUCUCAAAGCCCACGAGCGGGAAGGCGUUGCAACUUCCGGGUCAGCGAAGAAGGCGAGGAUAGAAGAGACAGAUCCGGUCGUAUUUCGCCUUGAUCGUCCAGAGCCCGCGCUUAGGCACAUCUUCGGCCGCGAGUGCUUCCCGGUGUGUGUCAUUGUGCGGGAAAAUCUGACCUCAGAAAGAAGGUCAUGCCCACCGUCACUGUGAGGGGGAACCUGACCUCAGAAAGAAGGUCAUGCCCGCCGUCAUUGUAAGGCAGUGGGAACCAUGGCGCGGAAAAGAUGGCGUCUAUGUGUACUUUGAAGAUAAUGCUGGAGUAAUUGCCGAAAAGGGG